rnacentral:RNase_P_RNA from 1 species
GAGCUGAGCGGUCGCGUGAUAUUAUGCCGAAAGGUCGUAUCAUGAGGAAAGUCCGGGCUCCACAGGACAGGAUAACGGAUAACGUCCGCCGAAGGUGACUUCAGGGAAAGUGCAACAGAAAUAAACCGGAUGCUUAUAUGUCCGCGAAUAAUAUCUGAGGAUGAUAUUUGAUUAUACUAUCCAAGGAUAUAGGAUGUUUGCGUCUAAGGAUGGAAAGGCGAGGUAAGAGCUCACCGGCACACUGGCGACUUUGUGCAAAUGUAAACCCUAUCCGGAGCAACACCGUAUGUGAAAGCAGACCGCCUUCAAUUGGUCUGAUGCCGGUCCGGCAGAAUUUUGCGGGUGGCAUGAGCGCCGCGGUAACACGGCGCCGAGACAGAUGACCGCUUCAGGCGUUCAAAGCGUUAAGGAUAUAAUCGUUUCGGACGCCGGACAGAACCCGGCUUAUAGGCUCAGU